UACGGGGGGGGCAAGCGUUGUUCGGAAUCACUGGGCGUAAAGGGUGCGUAGGCGGGUCUUUAAGUCAGGGGUGAAAUCCUGGAGCUCAACUCCAGAACUGCCUUUGAUACUGAGGAUCUUGAGUUCGGGAGAGGUGAGUGGAACUGCGAGUGUAGAGGUGAAAUUCGUAGAUAUUCGCAAGAACACCAGUGGCGAAGGCGGCUCACUGGCCCGAUACUGACGCUGAGGCACGAAAGCGUGGGGAGCAAACAGGG
rnacentral:rRNA from 1 species